CGCUAUCGUAUCUCAAUUCCUGUGCGCCGGCUGCUGCUAACGUUUCUCCUCUCGUUGCUUUUGCUGCUGGCUUCCUCUUCAGUUUCAUCAUCUUCUUAUUCGUUUCUCCUAACCCUAGGUUAAAAUUGAGUUGUUAGCUGAAGAGCUAAAAAGUGAAGAGAUCACCUAUUUUUUUUUGCAAAAGUGCUCAAAGGUCUACGAUCAUGUGGAUCAAUUUAAGUUUUGGUUAUCUUCAUUUUUAGUUUAUUAUUAUUUUUUUAGAGGAAGCUUAUUGUAAAUCCUUGGUAUUAGCUCUUGUAAAGGAUGAUUGUAAUGGAUUUAAGUGAGGCCUUGGAAGCAUGUUAUAUAGUUAUAUUUUAUUAUCA